GGGGUUGUGGCUCAGAGGUAGAGCGCUCGCCUACCAUGCGUGAGGCACUGGAUUCUAUCCUCAGCACCA
rnacentral:tRNA from 1 species